AGCGAGGACUUUUUGUGUGUCAAAGAUAGUGUCAUAGAUUAAGCAAUACACAUGUUAGGAGACUCGCCCCACUAAACUGAAACUGCAAAAGGCACAUUAAUUUGUGCAGGGGACCUUCAGUCACUCCAACUGUUACUUGGAUAACUGUGGUAAUUCUAGAGCUAAUUCCGACAAGUGCUUAUGUCCUGGAUACUUGCAUUUAUCAGACUAAAACUAAGACCAAUUUGGACUCAACUGCCAGCUUUGGCAUUUCUCGAUAAUAGUGGGCCAUUUGCAUUUUCCUGUGGUGACAAAAAUACAUUAGAUGUCUGCUCUAUCAACUUUCAAGGGUAUCUUCUGUGCCUGUCAUGGUGACCAUGAGUAAAUGAGAAUCAUGCUUUGAUUCUGGAGAGGGAGCCUUAGAAAUGACUACAUCACCCAAGGAAGGCACCAGGCAUGCAAAUCACCCACACGUGACUUUAGGAGGUAGUCAAGAAAAACAUGAUAGAGGACUAUUUUGUACCCAUGCAAUUGGAAUAAAAAAUGCUUUAAAUCCUUUAUGGAGGAUCCAUUGGUGUGCUAGUCUGGUGGCAGCAGACAUGAUAAUUCCAGUGCCAUUAACAUAUAAGAAAUUUGCCAUAGUUAAAGAGUGCAUAAUGGGAUCUUCGAAUUGAGCUGGCUGUCUGCCGUGAGACUAACCAGAGCCUGUCCCUGGCCCUGCCUUCCAGCAUUCCCUUGUUGCUGUUCACUGAUUAUCCUAAAGUUCUGUAGCAUUUACUUUGCUAGAAUUAGAGUGUAUAAUGCAGGCUGAUCACCUGAAUACUUCAGCUUGAAUAAUGGAAUGGCUUAGAUUUUUCAGAAACUAACCCAUGAUUUAGAGAGACAGCCUGGGGACAUCCUUUUAUGGUGCUGGAUGUGAAAUUCAUUAACCAAUGUAAGCACAAGCAUUGCUCAAGAAUGCUUUAUUUAAUCAAAAAUGAAAGAAGGAAAUCAGACACCAUCGGAGUUCUAACCAUACAUGAUGUUGACUAGUAAUAAUAAUAUAACUGCUUCAUUUCCCUGACCGACCAUGCAGAUUCUGGAAAACCAAAGUCUUUGUGUUCUGGUAAAUAUGAUUUCAAAUGAUGGAAGGACACCAUCAGAAGGGGAGCAAGCGUCUUCAUUUGACUCAGCACAUGAAACCCCAAUCUGCCAUGCCAUACAGAGGAUAAACAGAUUGGUAGGUCUUGCUUGAUUCUGUGGAUGGCAGUGCAUGACCAUUCUUAGUUGGUGGAGAGUAAAGUGACCUGCAGGGAUUGGUGUUUAAUUCCGUAGGUGCACAAGUGGCAUUAAGCCACGAGAUUGAGCAUUAACAGUGGGAGACACACACACGCUAUUCACUGAAUAGGAAGGAUUACAUGUGGUAAGGGUCUAGAAGCCGCUUUAAAAAAAAUAAUAAUAAGUGAUAGGGGUAAACCAUCUCAAAAGAGAGGUCUUCGUAACAGACCCGUUUCAGAAAGCUCCAUG
rnacentral:rRNA from 1 species